rnacentral:tRNA from 1 species
CCUGAUGGCUCAGCUGGUAAAGAAUCUGCCUGCAAUGCAGGAGACCCUGGUUCAAUUCCUGGAUCAGGA